rnacentral:lncRNA from 1 species
CACCAUUUUGUUGUAUACAAUUAGCAAUAACAUAGGACAUUGCACCGAUACAAAAUAUCAGGUGCUUUUAGAGUGCAGAUAUUCUCUUCAUACUAAGGUGGACAGCUGAAUCUUAAUACACUACUAACUAUUAAAAAUCAUGUUUCCGCCAUGAUAUAUAAUCAUAAGAACUAGCAAUGUGAGUCGUUUGAUUUGAACUAUAAAGCUUUAUUUCUAAUUGUUUCUGCACACUGCACUACACUCACUGCACAUUCUAUCAUCAAAUAAGUAAAUAUAGUUCCGUGAGCAACCAAAAAUAUUCUACUCCCUCCGUCUCUUAUUACUUUUCCUGUUUCUCUCUAGCAUGUUUGCCAAUACAC